rnacentral:rRNA from 1 species
UACAGAGGUCCCAAGCGUUGUUCGGAUUCAUUGGGCGUAAAGGGCGCGUAGGCGGCCACCGCAAGUCGGUUGUGAAAUCUCCGGGCUUAACCCGGAACGGUCAAUCGAUACUGCGGGGCUAGAGUGCAGAAGGGGCAACUGGAAUUCUCGGUGUAGCGGUGAAAUGCGUAGAUAUCAGGAGGAACACCGGUGGCGAAGGCGGCAUCCUGGACCAUUACUGACGCUGAGGCGCGAAAGCUAGGGGAGCAAACGGG